rnacentral:rRNA from 1 species
GAUGAACGCUGGCGGCGUGCCUAAUACAUGCAAGUCGAGCGAAUGGAUUAAGAGCUUGCUCUUAUGAAGUUAGCGGCGGACGGGUGAGCAACACGUGGGUAACCUGCCCAUAAGACUGGGAUAACUCCGGGAAACCGGGGCUAAUACCGGAUAACAUUUUGAACCGCAUGGUUCGAAAUUGAAAGGCGGCUUCGGCUGUCACUUAUGGAUGGACCCGCGUCGCAUUAGCUAGUUGGUGAGGUAACGGCUCACCAAGGCAACGAUGCGUAGCCGAGCUGAGAGGGUGAUCGGCCACACUGGGACUGAGCCACGGCCCAGACUCCUACGGGAGGCAGCAGUAGGGAAUCUUCCGCAAUGGACGAAAGUCUGACGGAGCAACGCCGCGUGAGUGAUGAAGGCUCUCGGGUCGUAAAACUCUGUUGUUAGGGAAGAACAAGUGCUAGUUGAAUAAGCUGGCACCUUGACGGUACCUAACCAGAAAGCCACGGCUAACUACGUGCCAGCAGCCGCAGUAA